UCUUUUUUACCCUUUUUUUUGAGCCUUUGUAGUCCCGUUCCUCAGGGCUGCUGGGCUGCGAGGGAGUGACUGAGAGCCGGCCCCUCAGGGCUGUGGAGAGGGACUGGUGUUCUCCCGGCAGAGUGCCUGUUUUCAAACAGCUUGCUUGGCUUUUUGGGAACAUCCUGCUUUAUGCCAAUUCAAGCCAUCUUUUACAGCCUCUGCUGGCCUGCAGCUGUAAAAAAAUAAGAGGACAAAAAGUAGUGAGUUUGUCCCAUAAAAUUCAGAAUAGCUGAGGUUUGACCCUCAUGCUUUACUAAAAGGGUGUCCUCUAUUUCCUUGCCUUACUCGUAUUGUGAUUUUGAGUGUGAUUUAAUGUGAUUUAAUGGCAGUAAAUCCACAGUGUUACUGUAGAUCUUCUCUGCUGGAUGCCAGCUUCACCAUUUUCAGCUUUGAACAGGGCUCUUUGAAAGUGAUUGACGCCUGCCAAUGAAGUCCUUGGCUCCCGAGCUUGUAACAUCACUGGUAAUUUAAUUACAUGGACAGGUAAGAGCUUGCUUGGAGAAAUAUGAAGAUGGACAGGAAUGUGAUUUUUGUCACAUCACAUUUUUUCUUUCUCUAAUUCAUCUCAAGUUGUUAUCACAAGCCCUGUCUUGACAUGGACUACUUAGAGUAAUUGCCUGAAUUUGCCUGCUUCAUAGCUUUAUUUUAAGGCAGUUUGGAUUACUGAGUUUUUGGGUGGUUUUCAAGAUGGUGAGCUACUUUGCAGAAGUGUCUUUCAGGAAGUAUGUGCCAAAACAAUUAGUCCAUUAUUUCUGCUUCCAAUCCAAUGUUGUCAAGGUCUUGCAGAUUUGAGGAACUAAACUUGAACUUAAUAAGCUUGUGUACCGUUUCUAGGAGGAGAUCAAGUGAAUGAAAUGGCUUGAGACAAGCUCAUAGCUUCAAGACAGGUGAAAUCCUGUCUGUCAGACAUUAAACAUCAGGUUAGCCUUUGGAGGGACCCAUUCCUGGUUUAUCCCGAAGGGCUGUGGCCCAUGAGGAAGAUCCCUGCUGAAGUACAGGGGAAAUACGAGGAAGGAACAAGAGGAAAGACACUUUUUUGGUUAAACACAUCCCCCCAUUCCUCAUGCCCUCUGUGCCACUCGGCUGUGGGAGGAGGAGGUAAAGAAAUAGGGAAUGAAGGAUUGGUGUUUGCUCUGGAAAGAAGGGAUGGUGGCUGGGGAAGUUAUUUUCACUUUUUUCUUUUAGUUUUUUUCCUCAUCAUCCCUGUUUAUUUUUAACUGGUGUUACAUUAAACUAAUUUAUCCUUAGAUCUGUUUUGCCUGUGAUAAUAAGUGGAAAAUAAUCACCCUGUCUUUAUCUUGACUCAAGGGCUUUUUCAUCUUACCAGCCUGUUGUGUUGUGGAGAGAGAGUGGCUGGCUGGGUGUGGGGUCCUCACAUCUGGACAACAUCAACUUGCCACAACUAUUUGAUGAUGAGAUGAAGGAAUAGAUAUAUAUAUAUUUUUUAGGUGUUAGUCCUUAAAUUUGGUGUAAACCUGCUUGGUAGGAUUAGUGUCCCAGUCAUAACUUCUUUCAUUGUUUCUCCUAAAGGAGUAGCUUUGAAGGGUGAGAAAAAUCCCACCUUGCCCAAGCAGACAAGUGUAAUUGGAAACACAGGUGGUAUUUCCUGUUCUCUGCAGCAAGAGAACUUUGUCUCCCCACAGAUUUACAGCCCCAUGACAAUCAUUUAAUCACAUUUAUCUAAAAUCAUAAUUGCCAUUUCU